AUAGCAGCGGAGAAAUAAUCAAUGUGAAACUGUGAAUAGCUCAUUAAAUCAAUUAUAGUUUGUUUGAUGGUAUGUGCUACUCGGAUAACCAUAGUAAUUCUAGAGCUAAUACGUGCAACAAACCCCGACUUUUAGGAGGGGCACAUUUAUUAGAUAAAAGGCUAACACUGGCUCUACUCGCUGAUCUGAUGAUUCAUGAUAACUUGACGGAGGGCACUGCCCUCGUGUCGGCGACGCAUCAUUCAAAUUUCUGCCCUAUUUAUAUCUUAGGAUUAAGAUGAUAUUAGCCCUAGGUUGUAAGGUUUAUUGGACUUGUUUUGUG
rnacentral:ncRNA from 2 species